rnacentral:ncRNA from 1 species
GAAAGCCGUAUGAGGGAAAACCUCACGUACGGUUUGAUGAGGAGGGGCUGGGAUUACCCAGCCUCUUACUCUAC